UACGUAGGGUGCGAGCGUUAAUCGGAAUUACUGGGCGUAAAGCGUGCGUAGGCGGUUCGUUAAGUCUGUUGUGAAAGCCCCGGGCUCAACCUGGGAAUGGCAAUGGAUACUGGCGAGCUAGAGUGUGUCAGAGGAUGGUGGAAUUCCCGGUGUAGCGGUGAAAUGCGUAGAGAUCGGGAGGAACAUCAGUGGCGAAGGCGGCCAUCUGGGACAACACUGACGCUGAGGCACGAAAGCGUGGGGAGCAAACAGG
rnacentral:rRNA from 1 species